GAUGAAGAACGCAGUGAAAUGCGAUACUUGGUGUGAAUUGCAGAAUCCCGUGAACCAUCGAGUCUUUGAACGCAAGUUGCGCCCGAAGCCACUAGGCCGAGGGCACGCCUGCCUGGGCGUCACACGCCGUUGCCCCCCCAUCUACUCCUUCGGGAUUGCGGGGGGGCGGAUGAUGGCCUCCUGUGCGCCUAGCCGCGGGGUUGGCAUAAAUACCAAGUCCUCGGCGACGCACGCCACGACAAUCGGUGGUUGCGAAACCUCGGUUGCCCGUCGUGUGCGUUCGUCGCGCAUCGAGGGCUCGAAAAAAUGCUCGGCUCCGGCUGGGCUUUCAACGCGACCCCAGGUCAGGCGGGGUUACCCGCUGAAUUUAAGCAUAUCAAUAAGCGGAGGA
rnacentral:misc_RNA from 1 species